CCCAGGCUCCUCUGUCUGUGGGAUUCUUCAGGCAAGAACACUGAAGUGGGUUGCCAUUUCCUUCUCCAGGGGAUCUUCUGGACCCAGGAAUCAAACCAGCGUCUCUUGAGUCUCCUGCACUGGCAGGCGGGCUCUUUAGCACUAGCACCACCAGAGGCUGACCACGCCUGUGAGGUCCACCCAUGCAGAAAGGAGGAAGGGAGCGGCCUGGCCUGCAGAGCUCAUCAGGGAAGGAGACGGCACCUCACAGGCCCAAGCGUCCCAGCCACUGAGGGCCCCGGGGAUGGAAUCUCUCCAGGACCCACAAAGGCCUUUCCCCUGUGGCUUAGACUCUGGAGCUCCCAGGCAGGAAGGCGCACGUCCUGGGAGACAGCCCUUUUGAAAUUGGGGCAAAAUGACUUUGGCUGUAGGCCCGGAAGCUCAGCCACAUGCAGGACAAGCAGGCUGUCCUCGGCCCCUCUGGGAGGGCGGCCGCGGAGGACCGGCCAGGGCAGCAGGACUCUCCUGCAUUCAGAUGAGCACAGAGCAGCUCGGCCAAGUCCUGCGUGAGUCUCAGCCCCAAGUGUGACUCCAGGCUGGGUUUUCGGGGCUGGGGGAGGAGCGCCGGGGUGGGGUGGGUGGCGCACGGCAGAGCCCCGGUGCUCCGUGUGCCCUCUCCCCCUUUAAUUAAGGUUUUGGAGGAGAUUAUAGGUUUACAAAGUUCAGAAUCCAAAGGAUAAGCGUGUGCACUUGCGAGGCCUGUUCCUCUGCGCCCCCUGCGGGCCCGUGAUCGGCUCUGCAGUUCGUCCUGACAGGUGCCUACUGUCCUCCUGGUUCCCUGGGCGUGGGGGUGGGGAGAAACACCUCCGGCCCUGAGUGUGUCCACUGUGUUUUGCAGAAACAAACGCUGCACCUCAGGGGCGUAUCCUACCGCACAGGAGAGCUAGUGUCGGGGCGCUGCGCGCACACGUCCUGCUGGAAGGGGGAGGGGCGGGCAACGCUGAGGUCUACCCUGGACUCCGGGAAGAGGGACCAGUCCUGGGGACUCCUGUGGCUCAAGGUCUGGGAUGGUUAGGGUCAGGGUCAAGGAGGGCCAGAGGAGCUGUGGUGGGGAGGAGUUUUAACUCUUCAGAUUGUUUCGAGUUCGUGCUGAGCACGUAUUACUUCCGUGGUGAACUUGUAGCCUUUGUGUGACUUCUGUACAGAUCUUCUGCGCCCAGUUUGAUGGGGCUUGACAACUGCACAACCUGCGUAGCUGCCAUUCCAGAGAACUUGGGAUGUUUCUAUCAUUCUAGAAAAGCCCCCCAGUGCCCUUCCUGCCAGUACACCUCAUCCCAGGCAGCCGCUGUCUGACUGACCAGCAGAGCCUACAGUCCAUGGGGUCUCAGAAUUGGACCCCACUGAGCGACUGAGCGCACACGCACGUGUGGCUGACACCGACGUCGGGACAGGAGGAACCAUGAGCACCGGCCCUGUCCUGGUCCACCUGGCCUGCGGGUGGUGUCUCCCUGUCUGCUGCCCUCCGGGGCCUCACCGUGUCCCGUCUGCACUCUCAGCCACCCUGGUGCCCUCGUACCUGUGGCUGCCCAUUCGGCUUCCUCCACUGUGCCCACUGGGCUCUCUCCUGACUGGCCCGGACCUGCUCACCUGCUGGGCUCCCCACCCUCCUCCUUCCCUCGCUGCUCUGGAGUCAGACCCGGAAAGACUGCAUCCAGCGGCCUCUUGGCCCUGACCUACGGUCACCCAACCCGCAGAGUGCUGGAGGGAGAUGGAGCAUGUGAGGAGAGUGGCUGGAUUCUCCAGGCAAGGAUACUGGAGUGCGCAGCCAUUCCCUUCUCCAGGGGAUCUUCCAGACCCAGGGGUGGAAUCCGGGUCUCCUGCAUUGCAGGCAGACUCUGUACUGUCUGAGCCACCAGGGAAGCCCUUAGAAAAGAAUUAAUCCUGGUCAAAUAACCCACAAUGUACCAUCUUAACCACUUUUAAGCAUCCAGAUCAGCGGCAUUAAGCGCGUUCACAUUGUUGAGCGGUCACAAGCACCAUCCAGCCCAAUUAACGCUGCACUUUGUAAGACAGUCACUUUGUCCCCAUUGAACCAGCUCCCGCUCGGCUCCCCCAGCCCUGGCCCCCGCCAUGCAGCUUCCUGUCACUACGAAUCUGCAUGCUCCUGGGGCCUCGUGUAAGUGAGAUCACGCCCUGCCUGUCCUUCCGUGACUGACUUAUUGCACUACUGAGCAUGGUGUCUUCAAGGUUCCUCCAUGUCGUGGCAUGUCGGGGCUUCCUUCCUUUUUAAACCUGAAUAGUAUUCUGGGAAAUUGAUUAUUUUUCAGAUGUUCUUACUUUGCAAAAUAAAGAGUUAGCCACCC
rnacentral:lncRNA from 1 species